rnacentral:rRNA from 1 species
CUGGCGGCGUGCUUAACACAUGCAAGUCGAACGCGAAAGGGACUUCGGUCCUGAGUAAAGUGGCGCACGGGUGAGUAACGCGUAGAUAACCUGUCUUCAUGUCUGGAAUAAUACGCCGAAAGGGGUACUAAUACCGGAUAUUCUUGCUUUUCAUAAGUUAUGCAAGCAAAGGUGGCCUCUGCAUAUGCUACUGCAUGAAGAGGGGUCUGCGUACCAUUAGCUAGUAGGUGGGGUAAUGGCCUACCUAGGCGACGAUGGUUAGCGGGUCUGAGAGGAUGAUCCGCCACACUGGCACUGGAACACGGGCCAGACUCCUACGGGAGGCAGCAGUGAGGAAUAUUGCGCAAUGGGGGAAACCCUGACGCAGCGACGCCGCGUGAGUGAGGAAGGCCUUCGGGUCGUAAAGCUCUGUCAAGAGGAAAGAAGUGUACAAUGGCUAAUACCUGUUGUAUUUGACGGUACCUCUAAAGGAAGCACCGGCUAACUCCGUGCCAGCCGCUGC